UACGGCUAAAUCACGUUGAAAAACCGGCUCUCGUCUGGCCACCGGAAGUUAAGCAACGUCGAGCCUGGUCAGUACCUGGCUGGGUGUCCGCUUGGGACAGCAGGUGCUGUAAG